ACAACAACAUUCGGACCGUCGGUCUACCGAGCAACAUCACCCGCUCGGUGGAAGAUCUUUCCUCCGUCGUUUAAG
rnacentral:pre_miRNA from 1 species